AUAAAAUUGUUCUGUGGCUCGCCUUUCUGAAAAGCUGCAAUUCACGUGACUGGGGAAUGUAUUCUCUAAUUCCAUCGUGUUCGAGGAGUCAGCCAACAAAUCAAGGACAAGAAAACAGUAGGAUAAAGGCAGUAAUGGUUUCUCACCACAAUCCUGAGAUUUGACCUCGAUAAACAGUGGUCAGGCAGACCUUACACCCUUCACAAAAAUUAGCUCAAGACGGAACACAGACCUCAGUAUAAAAUGCAAAACUGUGAAACUCCCAGAAGAUACCACGGGAGGAAAAAAAAAAACCUAGAUAAAUUUGGGUGUGGCAAUGACUUUUUAGAUGGAACACCAAAGGUCUGCUCCCACUUCCUGGAUCAGUCUUCAGUCCUUCUUUGGCAGGCUCACCCACUUCUGCCCGUUCCGGCCGGUACUGGUUCCAAAAGGCUCUGUACUCCACCUCUUCGCUCUUCCCAUGUGACACAUUCUGCCCGAGCAAUGUCAGCCGUUCCUAGAGCAUCAGCAUCGUACACAUUCUGGAGGGAUGCCUGGAACAGGAGCAACUUUCCCCGAAAACAUGCUUCUCGCAGCCCCUCGGCUGCUUCCUUUCACAGGCCUCAGGCGGGUGAAUGCCCAAGCUGGCAGUGACUUCCAUCUAUUGCCAAGUCCUGCCCAGAGGGUCUAACAACUGGCUCUACAAUGCAAGGGAAGACUUGGCCCUUGUUGCUGUUGUUGGCCUUUGGGGCUCCGGCUAAAACUGGAAUACAGUGUCUCUCUUUAACAUUGUCUUACAAUUUUUUUUGUUAAUUC